rnacentral:rRNA from 1 species
AAUGAACGCUGGCGGCGCGCCUAAUACAUGCAAGUCGAGCGAGAAGACGUAGCAAUACGUUUGUAAAGCGGCGAACGGGUGAGGAAUACAUGGGUAACCUACCCUCGAGUGGGGAAUAACUAGCCGAAAGGUUAGCUAAUACCGCGUACGCUCCUUGGACUUCGGUUCAGGGAGGAAAGCGAUACCGUGGGUAUCGCGCUCUUGGUUGGGCUCAUGUCCUAUCAGCUUGUUGGUGAGGUAACGGCUCACCAAGGCUUCGACGGGUAGCUGGUCUGAGAGGACGAUCAGCCACACUGGCACUGCGACACGGGCCAGACUCCUACGGGAGGCAGCAGUAAGGAAUAUUGCGCAAUGGGCGAAAGCCUGACGCAGCGACGCCGCGUGGGGGAUGAAGGUCUUCGGAUUGUAAACCCCUUUCGGGAGGGAAGNUGGACGAGCAAUCGUUCGGACGGUACCUCCAGAGCAGCCACGGCUAACUUCGUGCCAGCCGCCG